rnacentral:rRNA from 1 species
AGAGUUUGAUCCUGGCUCAGAAUCAACGCUGGCGGCGUGCCUCAGACAUGCAAGUCGAACGAGAAAGUUCCCUUCGGGGGGCGAGUAAAGUGGCGCACGGGUGAGUAACACGUAGGUAAUCUACCUUCGGGUGGGGAAUAACGCAGGGAAACUUGCGCUAACACCGCAUAAUGCAGCGGCACCACAUGGUGACAGUUGUUAAAGCGGGGGAUUUUAGGACCUCGCGCCUGAAGAGGAGCCUGCGGCAGAUUAGCUAGUUGGUAGGGUAACGGCUUCCCAAGGCGACGAUCUGUAACCGUCCUGAGAGGGCGGACGGUCACACUGACACUGACAUACGGGUCAGACUCCUACGGGAGGCAGCAGUCGGGAAUUUUGGGCAAUGGGCGAAAGCCUGACCCAGCAACGCCGCGUGAAGGAUGAAAUCCCUCGGGAUGUAAACUUCGCAAGAAUGGGAAGAAUGAGUAGGGGCUAGUACUCCCUAUGAUGACGUACCAUUGAAGUCCA